rnacentral:rRNA from 1 species
UAGGGAAUCUUCGGCAAUGGACGAAAGUCUGACCGAGCAACGCCGCGUGAGUGAAGAAGGUUUUCGGAUCGUAAAACUCUGUUGUUAGAGAAGAACAAGGACGUUAGUAACUGAACGUCCCCUGACGGUAUCUAACCAGAAAGCCACGGCUAACUACGUGCCAGCAGCCGCGGUAAUACGUAGGUGGCAAGCGUUGUCCGGAUUUAUUGGGCGUAAAGCGAUCGCAGGCGGUUUCUUAAGUCUGAUGUGAAAGCCCCCGGCUCAACCGGGGAGGGUGAUUGGAAACUGGGAGACUUGAGUGCGGAAGAGGAGAGUGGAAUUCCAUGUGUAGCGGUGAAAUGCGUAGAUAUAUGGAGGACCACCAGUGGGGAAGGCGGCUCUCUGGUCUGUAACUGACGCUGAGGAUCGAAAGCGUGGGGGGCAAACAGG